GAUGAAUGCUGGCGGCGUGCCUAACACAUGCAAGUCGAGCGGCCGCGAGGGGUGCUUGCACCUUUUCGGCGAGCGGCGAACGGCUGAGUAACGCGUAGGUAUUUUCCCCAAAGUGAGGAAUAACUUCCCGAAAGGGUAGCUAAUUCCGCAUAUGGUCUUCGGAUCAAAGGAUUUAUCCGCUUUGGGAGAAGCUUGCGUUGGAUUUGGUUGUUGGUAGGGUAAUGGCCUACCAAGCUGACGAUCCAUAGCUGGGCUGAGAGGAUGAUCAGCCAGACUGGAACUGAGACACGGUCCAGAAUCCUACGGGAGGCAGCAGUGAGGAAUCUUCCACAAUGGGCGAAAGCCUGAUGGAGCAACGCCGCGUGAAGGAUGAAGGCCUUCGAGUUGUAAACUUCUUUUAUGAGUGAAGAAUAUGACGGUAACUCAUGAAUAAGCACCGGCUAACUACGUG
rnacentral:rRNA from 1 species